CGCGGCCUAUCAGCUUGUUGGUGAGGUAACGGCUCACCAAGGCAACGACGGGUAGCUGGUCUGAGAGGAUGAUCAGCCACACUGGAACUGAGACACGGUCCAGACUCCUACGGGAGGCAGCAGUAGGGAAUCUUGCGCAAUGGGCGAAAGCCUGACGCAGCAACACCGCGUGAGGGAUGACGGCCUUCGGGUUGUAAACCUCUUUCAGGAGGGACGAAAAUGACGGUACCUCCAGAAGAAGCCCCGGCCAACUACGUGCCAGCAGCCGCGGUAAUACGUAGGGGGCGAGCGUUGUCCGGAAUCAUUGGGCGUAAAGAGCUCGUAGGCGGCUCAGUAAGUCGAUCGUGAAAGACCGGGGCUCAACCCCGGGGCGUCGGUCGAUACUGCU
rnacentral:rRNA from 1 species